GCCAGUGGGGGUUGUGCGCUGGUAUUCAGUAGACCCCGCCAAUGGGGGUUAAAUGUUGGUCAUAGUCGAGGCUGUUGAGUUACGAGUGUUUUGAAUCGAAUCGGAUUUAUGAUUAUAUUAUAUGUGAAUAUUUGAAAAGAUUGGAUUUGUAUAAAAUCAGUAUGAAAUAUAUUUUUAUGUUUAUUUGCAGUAUUGUUCUUAAAAAUUAUAUAAUAUCUGAAAUAUCUAGUUGAGAUAUUUGUUACUUACUGGGCUG
rnacentral:lncRNA from 1 species